AAUAUUGGACAAUGGGGGCAACGCUGAUCCAGCCAUGCCGCGUGUGUGAAGAAGGCCUUUUGGUUGUAAAGCACUUUAUGCAGUGAAGAAGACUCCAUGGUUAAUACCCAUGGACGAUGACAUUAGCUGUAUAUGAAGCACCGGCUAACUCGGUGCCAGAAGCAGCGGUAAUAAAUAGGGUGCAAUCGUUAAUCGGAAUAACUGGGCGUAAAGCGAGCGUAGGUGGCUUGAAAAGUCAGAUGUGAAAGCCCCGGGCUUAACCUGGGAACGGCAUCUGAUACUGUUAGGCUGGAGUAGGUGAGAGGAAGGUAGAAUUCCAGGUGUAGCGGUGAAAUGCGUAGAGAUCUGGAGGAAUACCGAUGGCGAAGGCAGCCUUCUGGCAUCAUACUGACACUGAGGUUCGAAAGCGUGGGUAGCAAAC
rnacentral:rRNA from 1 species